rnacentral:rRNA from 1 species
GACGAACGCUGGCGGCGUGCCUAACACAUGCAAGUCGAACGGGGUAGAGGCCUUCGGGCUUCUGCUUAGUGGCGAACGGGUGAGUAACGCGUGAGAAAGCUGCCUUUCAGCGGGGGACAACUGUCGGAAACGACUGCUAAUACCGCAUAAUGUACUCGGGAGGCAUCCCCUGAAUGCCAAAGCUUUAUGGGCUGACAGAUGGUCAUGCGUCUGAUUAGCUAGAUGGCGGGAUAACGGCCCACCAUGGCGACAGUGAGUACCGGGUCCGCGAGGAUGAACGGCCACAGUGGGACUGAGAUGAGGCCCAGACUCCUACGAGAGGCAGAAGUGGGGAAUAUUGGGCAAUGGGGGAAACCCUGACCCAGCAACGCCGCGUGAAGGAAGAAGGCCUUCGGGUUGUAAACUUCUUUUAGCAGGGACGAAGAACGUGACGGUACCUGCAGAAAAAGCAACGGCUAACUACGUGCCAGCAGCCGCGGUAAUAC